GUGGAAGUCUAUUAAGCACUGUGUUACGUUUUCAAAGGGCUGAAUUGGAUGUCCUGUAACAGUUUGUGGUUCCAUCUGCAGACACUGUGCUACAACCUCUGAUAUAACUCUGGCUAUUGGGCAGUGCACAAAUGGUUGUUUUUUUCAGGUUUGCCUUUGUAAGAAAAUGCAUUACCUUUGUGAUGCUGCCUGACCAAACCAAAGCAUCCGUGGCCAAGAAGUGGAAUUCUUGAGAAUGGAGGGCAGAAAGCAGCUGAACUUCCCUAACCCCAGUUCUGCAGAGCUCCAGGGGUUCUCAUGGAAGCUGGAGGACAUACGAAGUGUUCCUGGUUCGUGGGAUCUGGACAACCUUGCUCAUGCUCCAAGUAAUGAGAAGUGCCAAAGCUGUUGCUAUUAAGGAGUAAUCAAGGAAUAAAAACAAAACAUAUCUGAAGUGCUUAUUCUAGCAGUGCACCACAGCUGGGAACGUGUUGCACUUGGGCGCCCUGCAGCCUAUCAAAUGGAGACAACAGCGGCUUUUGAGAAG
ensembl:lncRNA